GGGCCGCUAGCUCAGUCGGUAGAGCAACGCCCUUUUAAGGCGUGGGUCGUGGGUUCAAUUCCCGCGCGGCUCA
rnacentral:tRNA from 1 species